CCGGUAAUGGGAAAUGAGUUGAGAUGGAACAAACAUAUUGCAUAUUGCUCAUGAGCCAGGCAUUGUGCGAAAAGAUCGCUUCAGCAAGCCAAUUCACUGCAAAGUGGAGCUGGCUCUGAUUGGAUGGAUGGCAAAGACAGUGUAGUGCUUGGUCAGAGGCAGGCAGCUGAGAUGUCGCUCUGACAUGCUGUCCAUUGGGCGCCGUCAAGCAUCUGCCAAGGUGGAGCCAAGGUCGUGGCUGCACACGUGUUUAUGGCCAGCUGAGCACGGAGAGGACAGGGCCAAAGGGAGCGUCUCUGACACGUCUGCAUGCAAGCGGAUGGGACGGCUCAUGUGCCCUGAAAGUCAUGAUAUCCCACUCCCACAACCGCCUAUUAUGCGGCUUUCUUUUGCCCUGAGGGAUGCCACCACACGCCUGCCAGAAACACUUAUUCUGACGGGUUAACUGAGGGGAUGUGACGAGAGAAGAAGAACCAUCUUGAAAGAGACAAAAGGUCAUGUUCUUAAAGAAGCACCCCAAGGUUUUUUAGCCCAAUCUGUAUUUUCAGCUGGAGAUCUGCAUUGUACAGACAAUUGGCACAUAUUUCAAGAUGUUUCCCGUAGCUGAAAUCUGUCAUUAAAUGUUUGUUAUUCUUGUUUUUGCAGAACACUUUUAUGAAUUUUUAAUGAAUGUUUAAAUUGUACAUUGAGAGGUGGCAAAGUUUGUGCUAAUUUGUGCUAAUUUGGUAGCUGUGGGUGACGUUUUCACAGCUUCUGCUGGUGAAAAUGGUAACUCUACAGGAGGAGGAACAAAUGUUUUGCACUUUGAAUGGAAGCAAUUUUUGGAGCAUUUCUGUCACUUCAUUAAUUGUAAAAACAAUGGAUGGCAUUUUCACAAACAACAAAAAUGGAGAUACAGAGUUUUGUUCCAACAGUGAUGUUAUCUAGACUGCAGACAGAAGGCGCACUACUGAAGCCACCACUCCAGUGCCGCAUAGUCCCUGGAAGGAAAUGUUUCCCAUAGACUUUCACAGAUUUUUCUUUCAGAUAUGCACGACAAUCAACUGUAUUUUUGUAUUUUUCUGCAAAGCAUAACAUCUAGUCCUUCGCACUUU